rnacentral:rRNA from 1 species
UACAUGGGGUGCAAACGUUGCUCGGAAUUAUUGGGCGUAAAGCGCACGUAGGCGGUUUGUUAAGUCGGAUGUGAAAUCCCUCGGCUCAACUGAGGAAGUGCACCCGAAACUGGCAGGCUUGAGUACUAAAGAGGGUCGCGGAAUUCCCGGUGUAGAGGUGAAAUUCGUAGAUAUCGGGAGGAACACCGGUGGCGAAAGCGACUCUCUGGACGGCAACUGACGCUGAGGCACGAAAGCGUGGGGAGCAAACAGG